CACAUGCAAGUCGAGCGGAUGAGAGGAGCUUGCUCCUUGAUUUAGCGGCGGACGGGUGAGUAAUGCCUAGGAAUCUGCCUGGUAGUGGGGGAUAACGUUCCGAAAGGAACGCUAAUACCGCAUACGUCCUACGGGAGAAAGCAGGGGACCUUCGGGCCUUGCGCUAUCAGAUGAGCCUAGGUCGGAUUAGCUAGUUGGUGAGGUAAAGGCUCACCAAGGCGACGAUCCGUAACUGGUCUGAGAGGAUGAUCAGUCACACUGGAACUGAGACACGGUCCAGACUCCUACGGGAGGCAGCAGUGGGGAAUAUUGGACAAUGGGCGAAAGCCUGAUCCAGCCAUGCCGCGUGUGUGAAGAAGGUCUUCGGAUUGUAAAGCACUUUAAGUUGGGAGGAAGGGCUGUUGGUUAAUACCCUGCAGUUUUGACGUUACCGACAGAAUAAGCACCGGCUAACUUCGUGCCAGCAGCCGCGGUAAUACGAAGGGUGCAAGCGUUAAUCGGAAUUACUGGGCGUAAAGCGCGCGUAGGUGGUUCGUUAAGUUGGAUGUGAAAGCCCCGGGCUCUACCUGGGAACUGCAUCCAAAGUGGCGAGCUAUAGUACGGUAUAAGGUGGUGGAUGUCCUGUAGUGCGGUGAAAUGCG
rnacentral:rRNA from 1 species